rnacentral:rRNA from 1 species
UCCAGGCAACGAGCCGAGACCCACGCCCACAGUUGCCAGCGUACUCUCCGGGAGUGACGGGUACACUGUGGGACCGCCGCUGCUAAAGCGGAGGAAGGAAUGGGCAACGGUAGGUCAGUAUGCCCCGAAUAAUCCCGGGCUACACGCGAGCUACAAUGGUUGGUACAAUGGGUAUCUACCCCGAAAGGGGACGGGAAUCUCCUAAAACCAAUCUUAGUUCGGAUUGAGGGCUGCAACUCGCCCUCAUGAAGCUGGAAUCCGUAGUAACCGCGUUUCAACAGAACGCGGUGAAUACGUCCCUGCUCCUU